rnacentral:rRNA from 1 species
UGCAAGUCGAACGCUGAAGCUUGGUGCUUGCACUGGGUGGAUGAGUGGCGAACGGGUGAGUAAUACGUGAGUAACCUGCCCUUGACUCUGGGAUAAGCCUGGGAAACUGGGUCUAAUACUGGAUACGACAUGUCACCGCAUGGUGGUGUGUGGAAAGGGUUUUACUGGUUUUGGAUGGGCUCACGGCCUAUCAGCUUGUUGGUGGGGUAAUGGCUCACCAAGGCGACGACGGGUAGCCGGCCUGAGAGGGUGACCGGCCACACUGGGACUGAGACACGGCCCAGACUCCUACGGGAGGCAGCAGUGGGGAAUAUUGCACAAUGGGCGAAAGCCUGAUGCAGCGACGCCGCGUGAGGGAUGACGGCCUUCGGGUUGUAAACCUCUUUCAGCACGGAAGAAGCGAAAGUGACGGUACGUGCAGAAGAAGCGCCGGCUAACUACGUGCCAGCAGCCGCGGUAAUACGUAGGGCGCAAGCGUUGUCCGGAAUUAUUGGGCGUAAAGAGCUCGUAGGCGGUUUGUCGCGUCUGCUGUGAAAGCCCGGGGCUUAACCCCGGGUGUGCAGUGGGUACGGGCAGACUUGAGUGCAGUAGGGGAGACUGGAAUUCCUGGUGUAGCGGUGAAAUGCGCAGAUAUCAGGAGGAACACCGAUGGCGAAGGCAGGUCUCUGGGCUGUUACUGACGCUGAGGAGCGAAAGCAUGGGGAG